rnacentral:ncRNA from 2 species
AGUUAAGAUCUUGGGAGUCUCGUUCGGGAGGCUGAGAGUGUAUGAAACAGACCAAUAUCAUCUGAUCAACUUCAUGGUUGCGUAGAGAGUAUCUUAAACAAUACAU